GACGAACGCUGGCGGCGUGCUUAACACAUGCAAGUCGAACGGUGAAGCGCCUUCCUUUUUGGUGGGUGUGGAUGAGUGGCGAACGGGUGAGUAACACGUGAGUAACCUGCCCCCUUCUUCUGGAUAACCGCAUGAAAGUGUGGCUAAUACGGGAUAUUCUGGGUCUGUCGCAUGAUGGGUCUGGGAAAGAUAUUGUUUCGGUGGGGGAUGGGCUCGCGGCCUAUCAGCUUGUUGGUGGGGUGAUGGCCUACCAAGGCGGUGACGGGUAGCCGGCCUGGGAGGGUGGACGGUCACACUGGGACUGAGACACGGCCCAGACUCCUACGGGAGGCAGCAGUGGGGAAUAUGGCACAAUGGGCGCAAGCCUGAUGCAGCGACGCCGCGUGAGGGAUGGAGGCCUUCGGGUUGUGAACCUCUUUCGCCAGUGAAGCAGGCCUGCCUCGUUUGUGGGUGGGUUGACGGUAGCUGGAUAAGAAGCGCCGGCUAACUACGUG
rnacentral:rRNA from 1 species